CAGCAGCCGCGGGAAUACGGAGGGUGCAAGCGUUAAUCGGAAUUACUGGGCGUAAAGCGCACGCAGGCGGUUUGUUAAGUCAGAUGUGAAAUCCCCGAGCUUAACUUGGGAACUGCAUUUGAAACUGGCAAGCUAGAGUCUUGUAGAGGGGGGUAGAAUUCCAGGUGUAGCGGUGAAAUGCGUAGAGAUCUGGAGGAAUACCGGUGGCGAAGGCGGCCCCCUGGACAAAGACUGACGCUCAGGUGCGAAAGCGUGAGGAGCAAACAGGAUUAGAUACCCGAGUAGUCCCUGUCUCUUAUAC
rnacentral:rRNA from 1 species